GUCUUGAUAGUUUAUUUUAAAACAUAGCGUUGAAGGUGCUAAGAAAAUUUUUUAGGUUUUAAGAUA
rnacentral:tRNA from 1 species